ensembl:lncRNA novel transcript, antisense to DMXL2
AUCCACAGCAAAGGUAAAAACAUGGAAGGAAGAUUCACUAAGGCCCUACUAAAUAAACAUUCUGCCUCUAACUAUGUUUCUGUUGCUGUCAUUCCCAAAAAGUCCAAGUGCUAAAAAAUUCCCUGUCACUUUUUUUUUAAAUUUUUUUAGAGACAGGGUCUCAUUCUGUUACCCAGGCUGGAGUGCAGUAGUGCAAUUAUAACUUACUAUAACCUCAAACUCCUGGGUUCAAGGGAUCCUCCAGCCUCAACCUUCUGAGUAGCUAGGACUAGAGGCACAUGCCUGGGCUUUUUAAAAAAAUUUUUGUAGGGAUGUGGUCUCCCUUUGUUGUUCAGGUUGUCUCAAAUGCUGGAGUUCAAGCAAUCCUCCUGCCUUGGGCUCCUAAAGUGUUGUAAUUACAGGUGUGAACCACUGUGACUGGCCCUUCCAUUACUUCUUAACUGCUUACCUGUUUCACUGUUUUCCUCUAACCUCUUACUGAUGAAAUUUAGUAAGAAACUAGGUUUCUCUCAAGAACUUUACUGUGCUUACAGGAAUCACCAACACACUCAACACAGGCAGUUUUUUUACUCUCACAGUAUAUUUAGUAUCUUUAAAUAGAUGAUUAAUCCAUACUAAAUUUUGUAGAUUUUUGCUUCUAUUGGAAGAAAAGAGAGUGUAUGAAUAGACUCCAACAAACUGUCUACUCAGUUUAAAUCCAGGGUCACUGAAUUCAUUUUUCGAUGCACUUUUAUCACUUACUCCUAAAUAUCCACAACUAUUUUCAGAUGAAUUCAGCAGUAGCCCCCAGAAACUAACCUUGUUGCCUUGUGAAUUAAAAUAUAAUCUAGUAACUCUUGCAUUGCCAGCUUGACGAAAGCAGACAAGUUGCUGAGGCCGCGUCCAUUCAAACAUUCGUACACUGCCGUCCUGAGCACCUGUAAGAUCUGAAACACAAGAGAAAAAGCAGGAAAUAAGAAAUUAAAGAGUUCCAAUAUUUUCUAUUCUAUAAAUCAACCUCCAAAUGAGGACACUUACAAUUAUUAGGUCAUAAAUACUUACAGUAUUGAUGGACUGGGUGUGAAGUCAUUCUCUUAACAUUAUGUAGAUUCCUUUUCAUAAGCUUUAAAAGAAAAUUUUAAAAAUUUUAUUUUGUGUAUGCAGAAAAGAUGAGGAAGGAUAUGCUUCAGGAUAAAUUCUGACAUUUAUUCUCUUACACCUUGCUUAUUACUGAGAUAAAGCCUGUUAUGGAUGUUCUGAACCACUACAUAGAACACUUGUCUGAAGAGGGUGAGGAAGCACAGUCACUUGCUGGUAUAGCCCUGGCCUGUGAGGUUACCAAGGAGCUUCAUCUCAUAAUAAAGGAACUCUUCUUCAAGUGCCCCUCCCUGAGGAUAUUCAGGAGCACCUCCAGAUGCUUCAGAGCAGAACAUAAGAAUGGGACCCCUCCAGCUACAGUGACAAGAAUGUUACUGACAUGCUUUCAAGCACUUAGAAGUAGACAUGAAUUCCCCUUUAACUUUGCUUUACCAUUUUGUAUCUGUUUAUUCAUCUGUAAAAUGAUAAUGGAGGGUAAUAAUAGCACCUACCACCUAGGAUUGUUGUGAGAAAAAGCAUGUAUCUGACACUAAGAAAGUCAUAUGAGGCCAGUGUGGUGGCUCAUGCCUGUAAUCCUAGCACCUUGGGAGGCUGAAGCGGGUAGAUCACUUGAGCCCAGGAGUUCGAGAACAGCCUGGGCAGCGUGGUGAAACCCCAUCCCUACAAAAAAUACAAAAAUUAGCCAGGCACGCUGGCAUGCACCUGUAGUCCCAGCUACUUGGGAGGUUGAGAUGGAAGGAUCAAUUGAGCCCAGGAGGUCAAGGCUGCAGUGAGCCGAAAUUGCACCACUGCACUCCAGCCUGCGCGACAGAGCCAGACCCUGUCACCAAAUAAAAAAGCCACAAUAAAUGUCAGCUGUCAUUAUCAUGGCCUAUCUACUGGUGUUUGUCCCUGAAAUUUAGGAUCAUUCCUAUGUCAAAGAGAUUCCAACUGAUUUUUCAGAGUCCAAAUCCAGAAAUGAUACCUAUAAGUAAAUAACAUACCACACUAGCUCCAGUGCUAGUCUGUCCAGUGCCCAGCCAUGGCAGAGAUGAAGGUGGAUGCACCUGACUUGCUGAAUAGGAUGUUGCACUGGGUUGAUAAAGAGUUGUAGUGGAACCACGAUAAUCAACAUCAUCUGAACUGUGAAAAACAUUCAUGUGUUACUGUGAACAUUCCCUUUUCUCUUAACACAAAUUCCAACUAAAAAUCUUCUUAUGUACCCAUAGGACAAUCUUUAUUUUAAAAACUAAGUAGCCAUGAGAAAAACUUAGGUACAAGUCCUAAUCGCCAAUGUUAAUACUGGUUAACUUUUUUCCCUUUUGGCAAAAUGUAAAUUUAGUCUAAUGUUGUUUGGGGACAACUUUAUUGCUGCACAAGUUGAAACAAAAGUUUGUUGUUAUCUAUGGAAAAAUAUUAUGUUCUCUUCAAGUACAGAUAGCUCAGUAUCAAAUUAACACGUUUAAAGAAAUUUGAGUUUAAAGAUUUCUUGGAGUAAGACAUAUAAAAUGUGAAAGUAAUUGUUGGGAUGGAUUGUAUCAUAGUACAUGGUUAUAUCUACUCUGAAAUGUGAUAUUAAAUCCUAGUUAUAUCACAUACUAACAAAAAAAAGAAUUCAACAAAAUGAGGAGAGAAACUAUCAUGGCACCAUCCUCAAGCAUGAACAAUUUCUAAGAGUCUGGAGAAAAGCAGGAGGGAAGGCAAACCACAAAGAAGAAACCUCAAAAUAGGUGACUGCCUUCCUUUCAUCACGAAGGGCCAUUCAAAUUUUCUGCCCAUGCCUCCAGGGACUCCCCUAUGGCUGCUGCAGCUGAUAAAGAUGCAUCCAAGAAAACUUCCAAGGAAUGGUCAAUGUGUGGCACAGCUAACUCAGUGAAGGCCAAACUGCUGAAGAAUCUAUUUGUCUUAACUAGCUGAAUUCACCAAUCUGUUUCCCAAAAACUUGUUUUGUGAAAUAUUUUCCUGUAAUAUCUUCAGUGAAUAAAA